rnacentral:rRNA from 1 species
UACGGGGGGGGGCAAGCGUUUGUUCGGAAUUACUGGGCGUAAAGCGCGCGUAGGCGGCUUUGCAAGUCGGGUGUGAAAUCCCCAGGCUUAACCUGGGAACUGCAUUCGAGACUGCAUUGCUAGAGUAUGGGAGAGGGAAGUGGAAUUUCCGGUGUAGCGGUGAAAUGCGUAGAUAUCGGAAGGAACACCUGUGGCGAAAGCGGCUCACUGGACCAUAACUGACGCUGAGGCGCGAAAGCUAGGGGAGCAAACAGG